GCAUAUGUGUCUGAGUGGUCUAAAGAGCCAGCCUCAAGAUCUGGUGGCGAAAGCCGCGCAGGUUCGAAUCCUGCCAUAUGCA
rnacentral:tRNA from 1 species